GAGGGGGAGGAGGGGUUAUUGUUGGUCAUCGGUGAUGUUGAGAGCCGUCGGGAAAGUGAUAGAGAGAGACGAGCUGGGUCGAGGGCGGAGAGAGGGAGAGCUAAGGGAGAGGGGAGGUGAUUCUGUUGGGGAGAAGUAGAGAGCGGGGGAAGGUGGUUGUAUCACUGGCCUUCGGGUUGUCGACAGACACUGAGAGAGAGAGAGGUACUGUUGUCAGAGGUGAGGGGAACAAUGCGGCGAGAGAGACAAAAGAGGGAGUUACUACAACGAGAUGUGUAGGAGGAGGGGACAAUACGACACGAGCAUGAGGAUUGAUACCAUUCAUAUAAUUGGUUGGUUAUUUUUUUUACCUCUUUCAUUAUUUUAAACCUCUCAUUUUGUGCAUUGAGAAAGAAAAAUCUGGUUUUAAAAUGAUUAAUGCAAGUGAAUAUGCCAUUUCAAGCAUUCAACUUUACUAUGUCUUUUUUUUGGUUCUAUAUUUAAGUAUGCUAAUAUUUUGUAAUUAAUUGUACUUUCUCUGUGAUACUGCGUCGAUCUGAGCUUCGCACUGUGGAGCAUUUUUGAAAGUCUUCUCAAGAUUGUAUCUUGAUCUUGUACGGUACUAAAUAUUUGUCCAGCGUUGUGCAGGAGAGAAGAUCAAGGAGAGCAUGCAAUCAUGUGGAAAAUGAAAAAUGAGCUUGUAGUAAACUGGUGUGAGCUAUGAUGAUGGAUGGUUUUGGUACUUGCUAGUUGCUGCAUCUAUUGGUUCAUUUGUCCUCGGCAGAAAAUCGGAACUUUGACAUAUUCCAAGAUUGGCAGUACACAAGAACCUUAAGCGAUGUGGGACUGACGAAGUGCAAUGGUGAGAAUAAGACCUGGUGGCUGCUUUGAAGCAUUUUAUUAGCGUCGAGGAUACGCAUUGGUGGUUUGAGUUUUGAGUGUGGUAUAAUGAAAUUCAUGGAUGCCCCUUUUAUUGUCAAUUCAUAGAUGGCAACAGGGAAAUAGGUACUCUAAUCUAGUGCUGGAUGAGUUUUGGUACACUACAUUUAUUAGGGUUUGGAUUCAGGUAUGACAAAUUAUACAAGUAUCUUGCUUUUGCGAUUGGAUGGGUUUUGGUACAUUGCAUUUUGGAUUCAUGAAUCGCUGGCAUAACACUUUUUUUUGGUAAGUGCUGGCAUAACACUUGCUAGGAAAUGGUUCUUACAAAUUGAUUGAUAUCUUUGUGCAAUAGUGUUUGGAAGGUUUUUUAAAUUAGACUUAAUGAGAAAUAACUAGAGUUUAGACCAUCAUCUAACUUUUAAUUUGAAGUGCAUGAUUGGGCUAGAGAACUUGGAUUUAGUUAUAAAUCAGUAUGCACAUAAUUCUAAAGGGACACAAUGAAAAUAUUUUGAUUUAUGCAUAUCAUUAUCUAUCGUAUAGAAUUGUUUUGUUUGUUAUUUCAGUUCUUUGACAUCUUAAAAACUUUUGAGACAUCCAUGUAGUUUGUACAUGGCUUUUCACUCAGGCCCCUCUUCCUUUACAAUACUCUCCACCAAACUACUUUUUUGGGAUCUUGUAAACUUUUGUUUUUCUUUCUCAUUAAUACUGCCAUGUGAAAUCGAAGGACACUAAGGGACAUAUAAUCUUGUGUGGUAACUAAGAGGUAAUUGAUGGAGUAAUACAUACAAAAUUUAUUCUUGCAUUUGAAUAGUUGUUUUCCUAGCUUGAUCUGAUUUCUCUAUUUUUUUUCCCCUCUUAAGCAGUGUAGUGCAUGUUCUACUCUCAAACGGUGAUUGUGCAGCUCCCAAAUGGUUCAAAUAUUGGACAAAAACUUGCAUACUACAUACUACCUGUUGAGGGUCCUGCUUUUGUGAGUUUUAAAUUGCUAGAUUUAAUUUCUUUAAAUUUUUUUAAAAUAGUGUUAUUCAGAAUCUGAUUCUUGUCUACUUUCUGAUUUCCAGCUUUAGUAUUUCAAUUUCAUUGUUGAUCAUUUUCAGUUA